UGUUUGAUGUUCUAACGUGGACCCGUGAUCCGGGUUGCGGACAGUGUCUGGUGGGUAGUUUGACUGGGGCGGUCUCCUCCUAAAGAGUAACGGAGGAGCACGAAGGUUGGCUAAUCCUGGUCGGACAUCAGGAGGUUAGUGCAAUGGCAUAAGCCAGCUUGACUGCGAGCGUGACGGCGCGAGCAGGUGCGAAAGCAGGUCAUAGUGAUCCGGUGGUUCUGAAUGGAAGGGCCAUCGCUCAACGGAUAAAAGGUACUCCGGGGAUAACAGGCUGAUACCGCCCAAGAGUUCAUAUCGACGGCGGUGUUUGGCACCUCGAUGUCGGCUCAUCACAUCCUGGGGCUGAAGUAGGUCCCAAGGGUAUGGCUGUUCGCCAUUUAAAGUGGUACGCGAGCUGGGUUUAGAACGUCGUGAGACAGUUCGGUCCCUAUCUGCCGUGGGCGCUGGAGAACUG
rnacentral:rRNA from 1 species